rnacentral:lncRNA from 12 species
CCUUGCUUUUUUUCACUGAACAAUAUGUCCUAGAAAUCACUCCACAGCUAUAUAGGGAGAGGGUCCUUAUAGCUGUAUAGUCCUCUAGUAUGAGACAUCCUUAAAUUAUUCAACCAGCCCCUUAUUGGGUGGACAUAUCUUAUUUCUUCUCUUUUGCUGUUAUGAUUUGUUCUGUGAAGAAUGGUUUUGAGCUUAUGCCUUUUUGUCUUUUUACAUGGUAUCUCAUAUACAGAGUCUAAGAAGAGAUUACUGGUUCCAAGAGAAAAUAUGUCUGUCUCAUAAAUACAAUGCAAACUUUGGUCCUAUCUCAUCAUUCCUUUCAUUCCAUGUACAUCUGGUCUCUAUUUUCUUUCUAGUUUGACAUGGGUAAAGCAGUUUCUUACUGAACUCCAAGAAGAAGUAGAACAGAAGAGAACAGAAUAAUAAUGGGUCAGCUAGACAGAAGAUGGGAAACAUCAAAUCUUUAUCCCAGUAGCCAAACCAUUUCACUGGCACAAGAUACCAAUCACUUAGUCAAAAAUACGCUGCUUAGAAGUUUGGUGAUGGUGGUGCAUUGGCGCCAUCUUGUAACAGAAACCUGAACUACAGUUUGAACACUACAAAGGAAGAAAGUGAGAGGCUCUGUCUGACCCAAACCCGCCAGACAGGUCAUUCUGGAAGUAUGGGUGGAAAGGGGACAUUCUCAGCCUAAUGGGAUAC